rnacentral:rRNA from 1 species
UACGAGGGGAGCAAGCGUUGUUCGGAUUUACUGGGCGUAAAGGGCGCGUAGGCGGCGCAACAAGUCACUUGUGAAAUCUCCGGGCUUAACCCGGAACGGUCAAGUGAAACUGUCGUGCUAGAGUACAGAAGGGGCAACUGGAAUUCUCGGUGUAGCGGUGAAAUGCGUAGAUAUCGAGAGGAACACCUGCGGCGAAGGCGGGUUGCUGGGCUGAUACUGACGCUGAGGCGCGAAAGCGUGGGUAGCAAACAGG